rnacentral:rRNA from 1 species
AGCUGCCAAUACCACCUUGAAAAUGCCCAGUUUCAUCAGAUCUCAGGAACUAAACAACCUGGUUAGUAUUUGGAUGGGAGACCACUGGGAAUACCAGGUGCCACAGUUU